rnacentral:rRNA from 2 species
UUUAUGGAGAGUUUGAUCCUGGCUCAGGAUGAACGCUGGCGGCGUGCCUAAUACAUGCAAGUCGAGCGAACGGACGAGAAGCUUGCUUCUCUGAUGUUAGCGGCGGACGGGUGAGUAACACGUGGAUAACCUACCUAUAAGACUGGGAUAACUUCGGGAAACCGGAGCUAAUACCGGAUAAUAUUUUGAACCGCAUGGUUCAAAAGUGAAAGACGGUCUUGCUGUCACUUAUAGAUGGAUCCGCGCUGCAUUAGCUAGUUGGUAAGGUAACGGCUUACCAAGGCAACGAUGCAUAGCCGACCUGAGAGGGUGAUCGGCCACACUGGAACUGAGACACGGUCCAGACUCCUACGGGAGGCAGCAGUAGGGAAUCUUCCGCAAUGGGCGAAAGCCUGACGGAGCAACGCCGCGUGAGUGAUGAAGGUCUUCGGAUCGUAAAACUCUGUUAUUAGGGAAGAACAUAUGUGUAAGUAACUGUGCACAUCUUGACGGUACCUAAUCAGAAAGCCACGGCUAACUACGUGCCAGCAGCCGCGGUAAUACGUAGGUGGCAAGCGUUAUCCGGAAUUAUUGGGCGUAAAGCGCGCGUAGGCGGUUUUUUAAGUCUGAUGUGAAAGCCCACGGCUCAACCGUGGAGGGUCAUUGGAAACUGGAAAACUUGAGUGCAGAAGAGGAAAGUGGAAUUCCAUGUGUAGCGGUGAAAUGCGCAGAGAUAUGGAGGAACACCAGUGGCGAAGGCGACUUUCUGGUCUGUAACUGACGCUGAUGUGCGAAAGCGUGGGGAUCAAACAGGAUUAGAUACCCUGGUAGUCCACGCCGUAAACGAUGAGUGCUAAGUGUUAGGGGGUUUCCGCCCCUUAGUGCUGCAGCUAACGCAUUAAGCACUCCGCCUGGGGAGUACGACCGCAAGGUUGAAACUCAAAGGAAUUGACGGGGACCCGCACAAGCGGUGGAGCAUGUGGUUUAAUUCGAAGCAACGCGAAGAACCUUACCAAAUCUUGACAUCCUUUGACAACUCUAGAGAUAGAGCCUUCCCCUUCGGGGGACAAAGUGACAGGUGGUGCAUGGUUGUCGUCAGCUCGUGUCGUGAGAUGUUGGGUUAAGUCCCGCAACGAGCGCAACCCUUAAGCUUAGUUGCCAUCAUUAAGUUGGGCACUCUAAGUUGACUGCCGGUGACAAACCGGAGGAAGGUGGGGAUGACGUCAAAUCAUCAUGCCCCUUAUGAUUUGGGCUACACACGUGCUACAAUGGACAAUACAAAGGGCAGCGAAACCGCGAGGUCAAGCAAAUCCCAUAAAGUUGUUCUCAGUUCGGAUUGUAGUCUGCAACUCGACUACAUGAAGCUGGAAUCGCUAGUAAUCGUAGAUCAGCAUGCUACGGUGAAUACCUUCCCGGGUCUUGUACACACCGCCCGUCACACCACGAGAGUUUGUAACACCCGAAGCCGGUGGAGUAACCUUUUAGGAGCUAGCCGUCGAAGGUGGGACAAAUGAUUGGGGUGAAGUCGUAACAAGGUAGCCGUAUCGGAAGGUGCGGCUGGAUCACCUCCUUU